GGUCAAGUUAUUAAGGGUGCAGGGCGGAUGCCUUGGCACUAGGAGCCGAUGAAGGACGUGAUAAGCUGCGAUAAGCUUCGGGGAGUUGCACGUAAACUUUGAUCCGAAGAUUUCCGAAUGAGGAAACUCACUUAGAGUAAUGUCUAAGUAUCAUUAAGUGAAUACAU
rnacentral:rRNA from 1 species